CACAGGUACCAGAAAGGCAGGCAGAAGUCGGCCCCCAGAGAGCACAGAUACAGGAAGCCCCUCUCUUCAGUCAGUCCCCCAGUUCAUCAGUAAUGAGAGCAAACGCAACAGGAGAGACAGAAACACAGCAACAAGCCAUCUUUUCCUUCCGGCCAAACCUCCCUGACUCUCCUGGCGGCUCAUCUCCCAACCUGAAAGGCUUAUCGCAGAGCCUAGAUGACUGGUUUGAUUUUUGCUCGUUCUCUUCCUGCACCAAAAGGUGGUGUGUCUGAGGAUGAGAGGAGGCAGGAAACCAUCAAAGGGCAUACAGCUUGUUUGGGACAAGGAGAAAAGCAGUGGGAUGGGGGUGUCAGCCCUUCUCACAUGUUCUAAUCACCAACCUGUCCUUCGCUAUUGGCUCCUUCCCUCUAUCUGUAAAUGUCAUCAAAUCUCUUUCUCCCAAUACAAAUAAGUAAAUAAAUAAACAGCCAAACACCAACAUAGCCCCCAAACCGACUCCCCACUACCUUCAGUGUUCCCCUAGUAACUAUCCUGACUCUCGUCUUCUCAUCCACACUAUUUAUAAAAAGCAGCCAUUGUCGUUGGGCUGUCUUUAUAAGCACUCUGUCCUCAGGCCACUCUCAAUGGGCCUCUUCCUGCUCCAAAUCCAAUGGACUUUCUUCUGUCUUCUAGGGGACCCUUCUCCUUUGUCCCUUCAUAGCCCCUGGUUUCUUUGACACCGCCCUGCCCUGCUUCUGCCCACGGCUCUCGGAACCCUCCUUCUGUCCUCCGCGAGCCUGUCUCCUCGCUGGCAUGCCCACGUUCUGCAGGAUUCUGUACCUGCUCAUAGCUCCUCCCACUUUAUGCUCUGUCCUGGGCCACGCUUUUCACGCUCAUGAUCAACUACAAAUGAAGUGCGAUGUCUCCCUGAUUCUGAAUGUCACUUCUGAGCUUCAAAUCUAAAUAGUCAACAGCUUGUUGGACAUCUCCACCCGGAAGUACUACAGGAACUUCAAACUCAACACAUCAACAGUGGAAUUCAUGACUGGGCCAGGCACUGCGUUUUCUUCAUCUUUGUGUAUCCAGCACCUAGCAGACAGCAGGCACUCAGGAAUUGUUGGCUGAGUAAGCAUCUUACUUGGAAGGCAGAGGGGCGGAAAUGUUUGAGAAUUAUAGGAGUGUGUAAAAGUCCCAAAGUGAUGCAAGGAAUGUAGGUUGGAGUGUUCAUCAAAACUGCGUUUCCUAGAAGUCAUUAUAUGAAAAGGACACUAGCACACGUAAAUUUACAGCAGCACAAUUCACAAUUGCAGAGAUGUGGAACCAACCUAAGUGCCCAUCAACCAAUGAGUGGGUAAGGAAAACGUGGUAUAUAUACACCAUGGAAUACUACUCAGCCAUUAGAAGGGAGGAAAUAAUGUCUUUUGCAACAACUUGGAUGGAGCUGGAGGCCAUUAUUCUAAGUGAAGUAACACAGGAGUGGAAAACCAAAACCACAUGAUCUCACUUAUAAGUUGGAGCUAAGCUAUGAGUAUGCAAAGGCAUACCGUGUGAUGUCAUGGACUUUAAAGAUGCAGAAAGGGGAAGUGGGUGUACAGUGUGAUAUCAUGGACUUUAAAGAUGCAGACAGGGGAAGUGGGUGGGGGACUGGGGAUAAAUCACCACUAUAUAAUUCAUCCAUGUAACAAAAAGCACCACUUAUACCCCACAAACUAUUGAAAUACGUUUUUUUUUAAAGGAAAGAAACUGAUGCACUCAAAUAAAAUAAUAAAAUCCCAGGUCUUUGAAAAU
rnacentral:lncRNA from 10 species